UACGUAGGGGGCAAGCGUUGUCCGGAUUCAUUGGGCGUAAAGAGCGUGUAGGCGGCCAGGUAGGUCGGUUGUGAAAACUGGAGGCUCAACCUUCAGACGUCGACCGAAACCAUCUGGCUAGAGUCCGGGAGAGGAGAGUGGAAUUCCUGGUGUAGCGGUGAAAUGCGUAGAGAUCAGGAAGAACAUCGGUGGCGAAGGCGCUCUGCUGGACCAUAACUGACACUCAGGGACGAAAGCUAGGGGAGCGAAUGGG
rnacentral:rRNA from 1 species